rnacentral:lncRNA from 1 species
GUGCGCCGGCCUCGGAGAGCGGGCGUCCCCUAGCUAUGCCUCCCAGAGGGAGGCUUCCGAACUACAGUUCCCGUCGUCCUACGCGGGCGCCGGGUUGGCUCCGGCUCUUUUCCGAGAGAGGCUGGUUCCUAUUUUAAAUCCAGGCAGCGAUCAAAAUGGCGGCGUCGAGCUGAGCGCGAGAGGCGGAGGAGAGAGGCUCUCGGCGGUGUGUUUCCUCCAUCUCUCCCGAAUGUGACACCAAGUGCCUGCUGAUCCUGAUGACCAUUGAAAAACCGUCCAAACUUGCCUGUAUUUUAAGGACGUGUAAGUUACUGAAAUAAUUUUUAAAAGUAGAUUAUAAAGAUGAUGUGUUUUUGUAGAUUGUAAAAUUUCCAACAUAUGCAUAACAUUGGUGGGUGUUUUAGUCAAAAUCAAGGAAGGUAAAGGUUACUUUCAGUAGAAGAUGUAGCUGUGUUUUAACUGAAUUCAAUGUGGGGUGUGCUUUUUUGCACACCUUUAAUCUUUUGAUUCAGUUAUUCAUUUUACUGAACAGAGAGAAUUCAGAAGGUUUUUUUAAUCAGCUAGAUCUUUUAUACUGCAAACCUUAGUGUGGGUU